CACGUAGGCACCAAGCGUUGUCCAGAUUUAUUGGGCGUAAAGAGCUCGUAGGCGGUUCGGUAAGUCGGGUGUGAAAACUCUGGGCUCAACCCAGAGACGCCACCCGAUACUGCUGUGACUAGAGUGCGGUAGGGGAGCGGGGAAUUCCUGGUGUAGCGGUGAAAUGCGCAGAUAUCAGGAGGAACACCAGUGGCGAAGGCGCCGCUCUGGGCCGUGACUGACGCUGAGGAGCGAAAGCGUGGGGAGCGAACAGG
rnacentral:rRNA from 1 species